rnacentral:tRNA from 3 species
GGGUUGGUAGCUCAGCAGGUAGAGCAACGGACUUUUAAUCCGUAGGCCGACGGUUCGAGCCCGUCCCAACUCACCA